rnacentral:rRNA from 1 species
UGACGGUAUUCAACCAGAAAGUCACGGCUAACUACGUGCCAGCAGCCGCGGUAAUACGUAGGUGGCAAGCGUUAUCCGGAUUUAUUGGGCGUAAAGAGAGUGCAGGCGGUUUCUUAAGUCUGAUGUGAAAGCCUUCGGCUCAACCGAAGAAGUGCAUCGGAAACUGGGAAACUUGAGUACAGAAGAGGGCAGUGGAACUCCAUGUGUAGCGGUGGAAUGCGUAGAUAUAUGGAAGAACACCAGUGGCGAAGGCGGCUGCCUGAUCUGUAACUGACGCUGAGACUCGAAAGCAUGGGUAGCGAACAGGAUUAGAUACCCUG